rnacentral:rRNA from 1 species
GACGAAGGAUGCAAGCGUUAUCCGGAUUCAUUGGGUUUAAAGGGCGCGUAGGCGGUCUUAUAAGUCAGUGGUGAAAUCUCGCAGCUUAACUGCGAAACUGCCAUUGAUACUGUAGGACUUGAGUAUAGUUGCUGUGGGCGGAAUAUGACAUGUAGUGGUGAAAUACUUAGAGAUGUCAUAGAACACCGAUUGCGAAGGCAGCUCACAAAACUAUAACUGACACUGAGGCUCGAAAGUGCGGGGAUCAAACAGG